CCUGUGCUACCCCUCUGGUUACCCUGUGCUACCCCCUGCUCCCCCAGCCUGGUUUUGACCCCUCACGUCGUGACACACAGGACUGAUUUCUACCUUCACAGGAAGACUGGACACCAUCUGCUUUGCUGUUCUGGAAUCAAAGUGCUAAGACAGUAGCACAGCUGGCAGACAGCAAACCUACCAUCAACGAUAUAGUCGGCGUGCCUUUGAAGUUGGGGAAUAGAUCCCCUAACCAAGUAUCCCAGCCAUGAUCAAACAACCAGUCUUCCUUGUGGAUAUUCUAUAUUUCAGUGCUGGUCACCUCCUGGAGGUCCUGAACUGCAUCGGGAACCAUGUCGCAGUGUCCAGGGCAGGUCCCAUUCGUCUUCUUGAUCAGUGGAGUUCCGGGAACAGAAGGGAAGCCUCCCCGGAUGGAGGCUGCCCCAAAAUUUUGGGAAUGAGCCCAUUCCCUCCCGUCGUCCCAGCAGCUGGUAGGACAUCACGUCUGGCCCGGCUUCGUUACAAAGCAACAGAUGCACCCAGGAGUCGUUCCCUUCUAGGUUCAUGGCCUGCCGCGUGGCUAGCAGAACUUGAACUAUAUUAAACUACUAAAACUUACUGAUUUUAAACUUUUUUUUUUUCUCUCGUAGCUGUUGCCUUCUGCACCGACACUGCGUUUGGUGGCCACAGGUUGUCCGUUCAUAAAGGUGUCAACUGUGUGUCAAGCAAUGUUCCUUAUCGACAGUUUAUCUUAUCGUUUAACUUGUAUAUGCCGAUAAGUCGAUAUAUCGCUUAUAGCCCUAAUAUGGACAAACUCGAUGCGUUUAAUAUUGCAUAAACAUUCGCUAUUGCGGUGUUGGAUUAAGGAAAAGGGGCUCUAGCUGCAGCGCCUUACUGAAAACGCACGGUUAUUUGAUGGGAUUCACAGCGCGGAUUAGCAUCUUCAUCUGCUUCAUUUCUUGGAAGCUGGAAAAGCCCUAAGGCUCCUUUCACACAGUCUGGGAGUAUAAACGACCAAUUGUGAUCUAAAAGCCGUUGUUGACAGCUGUAAGAAGCAAUGGAGGGUGUUACUUUUCUAUUAUGUGAUUGGCGGUUUGAUGUGCGUGUUAGCUGGUCUGUUUGCCGCGUAUUAACUAUUUUGAGAUAGGCAAUGUGUUAAAAUCGGAAAUAUUACUAUAUGUCAGUUAUUUUUCGGGACACCGGGAUACAUAACCUGAAAUCGGGACUUUCCCGGGAUAUCUAGUCACCCUACUAAUUAUAUCAAGUUAGCAUGUCCUUUUACUUGACGUGUCUUUUAUAUAGGUCCUGUGGUUUUUGCAAUUAUUGUUUCACCAUGUUGGUAUUCAGAAAAGCAAGGCUGUAGUAAAACUGAAGACUGAAGAAAAGAAAUCAGUCUCCUUAAAACACAUGACGGAUGCGGGGAUGCCUGGAAUAAAACCGAUACAGGAAAAUGUCUCUGCAUGAUUCUGUCACAAGGGGGCAGCAUCGUAUCAUUCAAAUCCUGAUCACAAUUCGUUACGCUGUUUGUUGGAUGUGCGGUCAGAAGGUAAUUUUUAGAUGACAUGAAUCGUGCCAGCUAGUGUGCUCCACUUACUAAGUAUGGUUAUACUCGUACACACAUGA